rnacentral:rRNA from 1 species
GGAGGAAAAGAAACCAACAGGGAUUGCCUUAGUAACGGCGAGUGAAGCGGCAAUAGCUCAAAUUUGAAAUCUGGCUCUUUCAGAGUCCGAGUUGUAAUUUGUAGAGGAUGUUUCGGACAAAGCUUAGGUCUAAGUUCCUUGGAACAGGACGUCAUAGAGGGUGAGAAUCCCGUCUAGGGCUUUAUGCUGCGUCUAUGUGAAACUCCUUCGACGAGUCGAGUUGUUUGGGAAUGCAGCUCAAAAUGGGAGGUAAAUUUCUUCUAAAGCUAAAUAUUGGCCAGAGACCGAUAGCGCACAAGUAGAGUGAUCGAAAGAUGAAAAGCACUUUGAAAAGAGAGUUAAACAGUAUGUGAAAUUGUUGAAAGGGAAGCGCUUGCAACCAGACUUGUUUCUAACGGUUCAACCACUGUUCUCAGUGGCCCAUUCCGUUAGUUCAGGCCAGCAUCAGUUUGGGUGGUUAGUUAAAGGCCUUGGGAAUGUAUCUACAGCUUCGGUUGUAGACUUAUAGCCCUCGGUGUAAUGUGACCUACCUAGACUGAGGAACGCGCAUCUGCUCGGAUGCUGGCGUAAUGGUUGUAAGCGAC